UACGUAGGGUGCAAGCGUUAAUCGGAAUUACUGGGCGUAAAGCGUGCGCAGGCGGUUCUGUAAGUCUGUCGUGAAAUCCCCGGGCUUAACCUGGGAAUUGCGAUGGAGACUGCAAGGCUAGAAUCUGGCAGAGGGGGGUAGAAUUCCACGUGUAGUAGUGAAAUGCGUAGAGAUGUGGAGGAACACCGAUGGCGAAGGCAGCCCCCUGGGUCAAGAUUGACGCUCAUGCACGAAAGCGUGGGGAGCAAACAGG
rnacentral:rRNA from 1 species